rnacentral:lncRNA from 1 species
AGCUAUGGAAAAUUAGCAAUCAAUACAUGCCUGUAAUUGAGAUCUUAGAUAGAUGGAUGUUGUUAUAAUUACGAAAUAGGCUAUAAUAUUAUGUUAAGAGAUUUCCCUUUUUGUAUGUUUGCAUAACUACAUGUUACCUUUCAAUGUAAGCUUUUUUAUUCACGUUAUUAAGUCUAAUUGAGUUAAGAUACCAGGCAGGGUAGUGGAAAGAGAUCUGCUAGAUUGUCUUAAAUAGCAUUUUCUAUUGCUGGUGUGUUCCGUAAUUAGCCAGCAUUGUAGAUAACUCAAUAUGUGUUCUCUGAGUGGUGCAUAUCAGAGAAAGUUUCUCUAUCUUUUUUAAAGAAUAUUUUCCCCUUUCGUGGUACACUGGAUCAUACAGAACCUUGACCUGUCAUGCAACUUACUAUCUAAGAGGUUUCCUUUAGGGUGUUGAGAAUAGAUUGGUCUUUUAUAUAAUACUUUUAAAAUCAGACUAAACCAUGACUAGAAUACUGUGGAUUUGCAUCUUAAAUUAUUCUGCAGUUAUUUUUAUGUCUGUAUGAUUGGGGGUUUAAUACUCAAGAGUGUUUCUAGCCCAAUGGUUCUCAAGCUUUGGGUUACAACCCUUUUGGGGGGUUACAUAGCUGAUAUCCUGAAUAUCAGAUAUUUACAUUGUGAUUAAUAACAGUAGCAAAAUUAUAGUUAUGAAGUAGCAACGAAGUAAUUUUAUGGUUGAGGGGGUCACCAUAACAAGAGGAACUAUAUUAAAAAGUUGUAUUUUUAGGAAGGUUGAGAACCACAGUUCUAGCCCAUAUCCAUUAAUUGUCAAGAACGAAAGGUAUACAGUAAGUAAGCCCAUAUUUUUGUGUUCUUGUAGUGGAAAUCCUUUUUAUUGUGCAUUUUAUAUUUGCCAUCAUUGGACACAAACAUCACUUUUAAAAAGUGUUCAAAUGACAUCCACUGACUCGUAAUGUUAGAAAAAUGGCUGCAGCAUGUAUACCAUUUAAAAUGAUUUUUGGCAUACUUGGAAGAGGGCUCUAUUGCUGUGGUACUACCUCCCAAUCACAAGUAUCUGAGUUCAUAUAAUAGAUAUCUACCUAAAAGUCAGGUUCCAUAGUUGGAGCCUUUAAUUCUAGUGUUGAAUUGGGUAGACACAUGCAGAUCCGUGGAACACAUUGGUUGGCCAGGCUUAAGGAGUCCAUAAACUCAAGAUUCAAUAAGAAAUCCUAUCUCAAAAAUAGGAUGGAAGACACUCAAGGGAGACAUCUGAUGUUGGCCUUUAGCCUCAUACACAUGUACAGACAUCUACACAUACAUGUAUAUACAUCACACACAGAGACAGACAGAGAGACAGAGACAGAGAGAGACGGAAAGACAGAGAGAAUAUAAGUUUUCCUGGUAUUUGUUACUACAUUGGGAGACCACUUCUGAUAAGAAGCCCAAUUGAUUGAACAGUUUUCCCCAUUAUUUGUUCAGUAACUCCAUAUCCUUAGGCUUCACAUCACACUCUUUUUCUCCUGAUAAUGAUUGCAUGGUACAACCUAUAUUAAAAAAGGCCUUUACCAGUGUUUAAUAAUUAAGAAAGUCCCUGUAUUUCACACAAGUUGUUUGUAAUCAACUUAGGACCGAAACGGUGUAUAACAUUACUCAUUUCUGGGAUGAUAAGAGACCUGUGAACACCUUGUGAAAGAGAGUACAGGGCAGACAGGAAGCAUGCACUUGGUGUGAGAGCUUCCUAGUGGCUUUGUUAGGAGGGCCUUCGUAUUCUUUUUAUGUAUUUAUGUGUGAUUAUUUAUUUGUGAUUAUGUAUUAUAUGUGAUUAUUUUUCCUGAUUCUUCCAUUUCCACUUCCCUCCUGCAUUACUGACAUUUUUCCCUUUUAUUUUUGACAUUUUUAUGCCAAGAAAAUGGUGUUAACUAGGUAUUAACUACACAUAGCAGUAUUCUCUGACUAUAUGAGUGGAGUAGCCUUUAAAUAGUUCUUCAUUUGGAUCUAAAAAUGAAUAUUUACUGAAAACUUUCUCUAGUUCAUGUAAUUUGUUAAAAGAAUUGUAGGCACCUCAGAUUUUGGCGAAUGUGUGUUCUCUGAUGAGGAAGUGACUGUCCCUCUCUGUGUCAUUUCCUAGUUCUGAAACCUUGUUGACACCAAGCUCCUUUGUAAAGGAGUCAACAGAAAGGUCUUUGAUAAUGUCCCUGACUCAUUAUUAGUGGACAUUGUAUGUCUGGCUGGCACUUUUUCCCCUGUGUGGUAAAGUCAGCCUCAUGUGGUGUUGCACAACCUUCCCUAACUCCUGUGCGUCAAUGAGAAUCAAAGGACUCCUUACAAUGAAAAACAAAAGCUUGGCUUGGAGUCCCCAGAUGAGCAAUCCCUGAGCAAGACAUGGGACUUAGAUUCUACAGUCAAUGCUCAUCAUCAUUCUUUGUGCGAACUUGUCUUUUGUAAAAGUAUUCUGAAAUUUUUAUUUUGUUUUUUUUUGGGGGGGGGUGCGGGGACAGAUCUUGAAAUUCUGUUAUUCCUGAUCUCACCACCCUUCUCUCCGCCCAUUCCCACUCUUACAAGUCCCUCCACCCAUUAUCCCUGUAGCCUUCAGACAAGUGGAAGCUCCCCUUAGGGGGCCACACCACCCUGGAACCCCCAGUUGGCAGCAUAGACACACAUAGAAGCAUAGAAGCACAUCUUAUACUUGAGGCUCAAUGAGGUAGUCCAGUUAGGGGAAAGAAACCCAAUAGCAGGCAGCUGAGCCAGAGACAGCAUCUUCUCCAAUUGUUAGUGGACCCACAUGAGGACCAAGCUGCACAUCUGCCACAAAUAUAUAGGUGGCCUAGGUUUAGCCCUUGAAUGAUGCUCUUUGCUUGGCGGUUCAGUCUUGGUGAGCUUCACCCCCUAAGAAAAUCUUUACUGUAGGGACUCUUUACCUAUGGUUUCAUUUCUCUCCGUGAGGGAACAUUUGGAAACAGGUUGGAUCAGGAUAAUUUUGUAGGGAAGGCACUGGGUAGUCAGGUAGAAAUCCUAUUCAGGCACUUAGCAGGAGGACCAAUUGUUUCAUCCAUUAUCUAAUCUCUGAGGUGGAAAUAACUAUUUUCCUCACCGGAAUGGUAAUGUGUUAAAAAAAAUUAAAAAGCCAUGGUAGAGCAUAGAUUCCAAUUCAGAAAAAAAGGUUCUACUGUUCCCUUGGUUUGUUUGAAAAGAUUUAUUUUUAUUUGGUUUAUAUGUAUGUGUUUGUAUUUGACACUCUGUAGGUAGCUGUACAGAUUAGAAGAGAGCGUGAAAUUCCCUGGAGCUGGGAUUAUACAAAAUAGUGCUGCACUCUGAGUGGUUGCUGGCAACCAAAUUCAACUUCUCUUGAGCUUCUCUUACCCACCGAGCCAUCUCUCCUCUCCCGUCAGCUUCUCUUGAGCUUCUCUUACCCACCGAGCCAUCUCUCCUCUCCCAUCAGCUUCUCUUGAGCUUCUCUUACCCACUGAGCCAUCUCUCCUCUCCCGUGGGCUCCUAUUCUUAGGGGCUGGAAGAGUUCAUGUCUAUUGCUUGUGAGAAGGUCAAAGUGAUAGUGGGACCUUUCAAAGUUUAUACUAUUGCGAUCUCAAGGGAACUCUUGUGACAUUUGGCCAGCGUGAUAUUUUGCACCAUUGCUUUGCCUCUGCAUGGAUGUCAUGCUAUAUGGAAAAAUCUUUGUUCCUUUUACUGUGGAAAUAAAAAUGUUCCUGAAUU